CUCCAGUCGGUAGAGUCCUACAUGCUGUUGAUUCUCCCAUUUGAACCAUUCUAAUGUGAUGUCUUUUGCUGUUUUUUUUUUAAAUUAUUAUUUUUAUUUAUUUAUUUCUGAGAGCUUUUCCAGGCAACUUAGACGCUAAUUUUGGCUUUUUGGUUUUGUCCCUCAGUGUGUUUCUGCUGCUUCAUGGAAGUUUUCUGAGAGGACUUGAGCGGACAGCCUUCAGCCUUUUUUCAUUUGUCAAGUUCCUGUGUUUUUCUUGUAUUUUGCAAACUCCCAUUUAAAUCUAAGCUAUAUAACAAUCUGUCAGACAAAGGCUUCAGGAAUGAAUGCCUUCUGUUAAGUGCUGUCAGUUGUAAUGUUUCCUGCCAAUGAUCACAUUUUUUGCUGAUGUUGAUCUUAGUAAUCAUAGCUAGUCAUUGUUGACCAUGAUUUCUGCACUUGGCUUUUUAAAAUCCUUAUUUUCACUUUGGUUUGUGUCACCACCAGCUCUACCUCCUAUAGUCUUACUCUUUAAUGGAUCAAGAUUUAUAUCCUGAUUUUGGUACCCUAGCUUGCCUCUCAUUUCAGAUCCUCAACCUCCUGUCCUUGUGUGUUUCUUGCCUGUUUGAUUGUCUGUCAUGCUCCAACUGUUUCUGGCUGCCCCUCACUUUAUUGUUCAAUAGUGCUCUUGUGACUCCUGUCUUUGGUGGUUCUGUGGUCAAUACACCUUGCUAGUCUUCACUGCUAUUUCAACAAUCAGAUCAUGUGCUCAUUUAUCUCCAUUAUUAUCUUCAGUUAAUUUUCUAUUAUUACCUGCACACUAGAAGCCUGCAUGCCUAUUUGAUGGUCUGCUGAGGUCAGAAUCAGAAUGCAGAAUUCAUUCAGAAUGCCUUUUAUUG